rnacentral:rRNA from 1 species
UAGUGAUAUGCUUGUCUCAAAGAUUAAGCCAUGCAUGUCUAAGUAUAAACAUCUUUAUACUGUGAAACUGCAGAUGGCUCAUUAAAUCAGUUAUAAUUUAUUUGAUGAUUGCUUUACUACAUGGAUACCCGUAGUAAUUCUAGAGCUAAUACAUGCGUAAAAUCCUGACUCUUGCGGGGAGGGAUGUAUUUAUUAGAUAAAAAACCAAUGCGGGCUCUGCCCGGUUUUGCGGUGAUUCAUAGUAACUGUUCGAAGCGCAUGGCCUCGCGCCGGCGCUAGUUCAUUCAAAUUUCUGCCCUAUCAGCUUUUGACGGUAGUGUAGUGGACUACCGUGGCAUUAACGGGUGACGGGGAAUUAGGGUUCGAUUCCGGAGAGGGAGCCUGAGAAACGGCUACCACAUCCAAGGAAGGCAGCAGGCGCGCAAAUUACCCAAUCCCGACACGGGGAGGUAGUGACAAUAAAUAACGAUACAGGGCCCUUUCGGGUCUUGUAAUUGGAAUGAGUACAAUGUAAAUACCUUAACGAGGAACAAUU